UACAGAGGUCCCAAGCGUUGUUCGGAUUCACUGGGCGUAAAGGGUGCGUAGGUGGCAGGGUAAGUUUGAGGUGAAAGCUCCGGGCCUAACCCGGAAAUGGCCUUAAAUACUAUUCUGCUCGAGGGUUGGCGGGGAGACUGGAAUUCUCGGUGUAGCAGUGAAAUGCGUAGAUAUCGAGAGGAACACCAGUGGCGAAGGCGAGUCUCUAGACAACACCUGACACUGAGGCACGAAAGCCAGGGGAGCAAACGGG
rnacentral:rRNA from 1 species